GGAACUGAAACAUCUAAGUACCCCGAGGAAAAGAAAUCAACCGAGAUUCCCCCAGUAGCGGCGAGCGAACGGGGAGGAGCCCAGAGCCUGAAUCAGUGUGUGUGUUAGUGGAAGCGUCUGGAAAGGCGCGCGAUACAGGGUGACAGCCCCGUACACAAAAAUGCACAUAUUGUGAGCUCGAUGAGUAGGGCGGGACACGUGGUAUCCUGUCUGAAUAUGGGGGGACCAUCCUCCAAGGCUAAAUACUCCUGACUGACCGAUAGUGAACCAGUACCGUGAGGGAAAGGCGAAAAGAACCCCGGCGAGGGGAGUGAAAAAGAACCUGAAACCGUGUACGUACAAGCAGUGGGAGCACGCUUAGGCGUGUGACUGCGUACCUUUUGUAUAAUGGGUCAGCGACUUAUAUUCUGUAGCAAGGUUAACCGAAUAGGGGAGCCGAAGGGAAACCGAGUCUUAACUGGGCGUUAAGUUGCAGGGUAUAGACCCGAAACCCGGUGAUCUAGCCAUGGGCAGGUUGAAGGUUGGGUAACACUAACUGGAGGACCGAACCGACUAAUGUUGAAAAAUUAGCGGAUGACUUGUGGCUGGGGGUGAAAGGCCAAUCAAACCGGGAGAUAGCUGGUUCUCCCCGAAAGCUAUUUAGGUAGCGCCUCGUGAAUUCAUCUCCGGGGGUAGAGCACUGUUUCGGCAAGGGGGUCAUCCCGACUUACCAACCCGAUGCAAACUGCGAAUACCGGAGAAUGUUAUCACGGGAGACACACGGCGGGUGCUAACGUCCGUCGUGAAGAGGGAAACAACCCAGACCGCCAGCUAAGGUCCCAAAGUCAUGGUUAAGUGGGAAACGAUGUGGGAAGGCCCAGACAGCCAGGAUGUUGGCUUAGAAGCAGCCAUCAUUUAAAGAAAGCGUAAUAGCUCACUGGUCGAGUCGGCCUGCGCGGAAGAUGUAACGGGGCUAAACCAUGCACCGAAGCUGCGGCAGCGACGCUUAUGCGUUGUUGGGUAGGGGAGCGUUCUGUAAGCCUGCGAAGGUGUGCUGUGAGGCAUGCUGGAGGUAUCAGAAGUGCGAAUGCUGACAUAAGUAACGAUAAAGCGGGUGAAAAGCCCGCUCGCCGGAAGACCAAGGGUUCCUGUCCAACGUUAAUCGGGGCAGGGUGAGUCGACCCCUAAGGCGAGGCCGAAAGGCGUAGUCGAUGGGAAACAGGUUAAUAUUCCUGUACUUGGUGUUACUGCGAAGGGGGGACGGAGAAGGCUAUGUUGGCCGGGCGACGGUUGUCCCGGUUUAAGCGUGUAGGCUGGUUUUCCAGGCAAAUCCGGAAAAUCAAGGCUGAGGCGUGAUGACGAGGCACUACGGUGCUGAAGCAACAAAUGCCCUGCUUCCAGGAAAAGCCUCUAAGCAUCAGGUAACAUCAAAUCGUACCCCAAACCGACACAGGUGGUCAGGUAGAGAAUACCAAGGCGCUUGAGAGAACUCGGGUGAAGGAACUAGGCAAAAUGGUGCCGUAACUUCGGGAGAAGGCACGCUGAUAUGUAGGUGAAGUCCCUUGCGGAUGGAGCUGAAAUCAGUCGAAGAUACCAGCUGGCUGCAACUGUUUAUUAAAAACACAGCACUGUGCAAACACGAAAGUGGACGUAUACGGUGUGACGCCUGCCCGGUGCCGGAAGGUUAAUUGAUGGGGUCAGCGCAAGCGAAGCUCUUGAUCGAAGCCCCGGUAAACGGCGGCCGUAACUAUAACGGUCCUAAGGUAGCGAAAUUCCUUGUCGGGUAAGUUCCGACCUGCACGAAUGGCGUAAUGAUGGCCAGGCUGUCUCCACCCGAGACUCAGUGAAAUUGAACUCGCUGUGAAGAUGCAGUGUACCCGCGGCAAGACGGAAAGACCCCGUGAACCUUUACUAUAGCUUGACACUGAACAUUGAGCCUUGAUGUGUAGGAUAGGUGGGAGGCUUUGAAGUGUGGACGCCAGUCUGCAUGGAGCCGGCCUUGAAAUACCACCCUUUAAUGUUUGAUGUUCUAACGUGGACCCGUGAUCCGGGUUGCGGACAGUGUCUGGUGGGUAGUUUGACUGGGGCGGUCUCCUCCUAAAGAGUAACGGAGGAGCACGAAGGUUGGCUAAUCCUGGUCGGACAUCAGGAGGUUAGUGCAAUGGCAUAAGCCAGCUUGACUGCGAGCGUGACGGCGCGAGCAGGUGCGAAAGCAGGUCAUAGUGAUCCGGUGGUUCUGAAUGGAAGGGCCAUCGCUCAACGGAUAAAAGGUACUCCGGGGAUAACAGGCUGAUACCGCCCAAGAGUUCAUAUCGACGGCGGUGUUUGGCACCUCGAUGUCGGCUCAUCACAUCCUGGGGCUGAAGUAGGUCCCAAGGGUAUGGCUGUUCGCCAUUUAAAGUGGUACGCGAGCUGGGUUUAGAACGUCGUGAGACAGUUCGGUCCCUAUCUGCCGUGGGCGCUGGAGAACUGAGGGGGGCUGCUCCUAGUACGAGAGGACCGGAGUGGACGCAUCACUGGUGUUCGGGUUGUCAUGCCAAUGGCACUGCCCGGUAGCUAAAUGCGGAAGAGAUAAGUGCUGAAAGCAUCUAAGCACGAAACUUGCCCCGAGAUGAGUUCUCCCUGACCCUUUAAGGGUCCUGAAGGAACGUUGAAGACGACGACGUUGAUAGGCCGGGUGUGUAAGCGCAGCGAUGCGUUGAGCUAACCGGUACUAAUGAACCGUGAGG
rnacentral:rRNA from 1 species